GGAAUUUUGGACAAUGGGGGCAACCCUGAUCCAGCCAUUCCGCGUGAGUGAAGAAGGCCUUCGGGUUGUAAAGCUCUUUUGUCCGGAGCGAAACGGUUGCGGUGAAUAGCCGCGACUACUGACGGUCCCGGAAGAAUAAGCACCGGCUAACUACGUGCCAGCAGCCGCGGUAAUACGUAGGGUGCGAGCGUUAAUCGGAAUUACUGGGCGUAAAGCGUGCGCAGGCGGUUUUGUAAGCCAGAUGUGAAAUCCCCGGGCUCAACCUGGGAAUGGCAUUUGGGACUGCAAGGCUGGAGUGCGGCAGAGGAGACUGGAAUUCCCGGUGUAGCAGUGAAAUGCGUAGAUAUCGGGAGGAAUACCGAUGGCGAAGGCAGGUCUCUGGGCUGACACUGACGCUCAUGCACGAAAGCGUGGGGAGCAAAC
rnacentral:rRNA from 1 species